rnacentral:lncRNA from 1 species
CAAGGCCUGUACUCACCAGGACCAAGGGCCCCCUGAGAGAUGGUGGGUGCGGUCCAGGCUGAUCUGGAGCAGGGGCUGGGUCCCCCUUCCAUUCCUUGAGAUGCAGGUGGGCACUCACUACCCUCCCGCAGGUGACCUGUUGGGCAAGAGGCUGGGCCGCUCCCCCCAUAUCAGCAGCGACUGCUUUUCACAGAAGAGGGCAUGAAGCGAAUCCCCUCACGGUAAGAGCGUGGCUGGGACGAGAGACAGGUCACCAGGGGAGGGGGCAGUCCCUGAGGGUCCCCUGGACCUCGAGCAGGCACUCUAGAGGGGCGUGGUCCUGGGCAGUGCCUGGAGAAACCUCUCACCCCGGGUCCUCUCCAGCAGAGGUGCUGCUGCUGCCACCGGAGCUGGGGCCCAGCAUGGCCCCGGAGGACCAUUAUCGCCGGCUUGUGUCAGCACUGAGUGAGGCCAGCACCUUUGAGGAUCCUCAGCGCCUCUACCACCUGGGCCUCCCCAGCCACGGCUCUGUGGCCUCGGGACGUCUGCACAGCCCCCUCCCCGCAAGGCUCAGCCGCCUCUCAGGCCAGAAGCCCAGGCACCCGGCUCCCCUUCGGGGAAGAGCUUUUCCCGACACUUCCCGGCGCAGCAUCUUCUCUGCCGUCACGGCCCUGUGGCCGCCCAUCCUCCUGCCCCGUGCCCGAGACCAGCCCAGGGGCCGAACACGGCCGAGUGGUGUGGUCAGUUCCCCACCUCAGUGUUCUACGCCAGGACGCGGGCUGGGGAGGAUGAGGUCGCAUAGCCGGGGGGGGGAGGUCACUGCUGUUGUCGCCCACCCAGAUCUCCUGAGGGUCCGGCAGGAGGUGGCAGCUGCAGCUCUGAGGGGCCCCAGUGGCCUGGAAGCCCACCUGCCCUCCUCCACGGCAGGUCAGCGUCGGAAGCAGGGCCUGGCUCAGCACCGGGAGGGCGCCGCCCCAGCUGCCGCC